GACGAACGCUGGCGGCGUGCUUUACACAUGCAAGUCGAACGGUGAAAGGGGAGCUUGCUCCCCUGGAUCAGUGGCGAACGGGUGAGUAACACGUGGGCAACCUGCCCCAGACUCUGGGAUAACUCCUCGAAAGAGGCGCUAAUACCGGAUACGAGCCCUGCAGGCAUCUGCGGGGCUGGAAAGUUUUUUCGGUCUGGGAUGGGCCCGCGGCCUAUCAGCUAGUUGGUGAGGUAGUGGCUCACCAAGGCGACGACGGGUAGCCGGCCUGAGAGGGCGACCGGCCACACUGGGACUGAGACACGGCCCAGACUCCUACGGGAGGCAGCAGUGGGGAAUAUUGCACAAUGGGCGCAAGCCUGAUGCAGCAACGCCGCGUGAGGGAUGACGGCCUUCGGGUUGUAAACCUCUUUUAGUAGGGAAGAAGCGAAAGUGACGGUACCUGCAGAAGAAGCACCGGCUAACUACGUGCCAGCAGCCGCAGUAA
rnacentral:rRNA from 1 species